CUAAGCCUAGGCCUUGACAAGAUGAAGCUGUCAAGCCCCUUAGCAUGCUCUGGACAUGCUGUGUUGGGGAAAUGACAGGGUCUUAACACCCCAAAGCAUUCAUAAUCACCACUGAGCUGCACCCCAUCCCGCAGCCAGUUGAUGCUCUGCACAUCAUCGCGAAGCCGACAGCGAAGCUGUAGCAGGUCGCCAGGGUGGACCAGGAGAGACUCCACUUCCACAGGGACUCCCCAGGGCUGAGCUGCAGCAGCCACCCACAAGGGCCAGGAGGAAGAGCCAAGUGGAGAAAGGAGGUGGAGAAAGGGAGUUAGACAGCAUGCAAGCUCUCAGCUGCUGUUCCAGUGCCCGUGUGCUGCCACGGUUACCUUCAGGAUGGUCAUGGACUCACCCUCUGAAACUGAGUUCACCAUCUAGACCUAGAACUGGCGGGGACCUCAGGUCUAUCCACCAUCUGGCCUUCUUCUUUUGUCAGGGUCUCACUUUGCAGCCCUGGCUAGCCCAGAACUCACAGAGGCUUACCAGCUUCUUCAUCCUCCAUGCUGGGAUUCAAGCAGUCAAUAGAAGACAGCCAUUAAAGAAAUCUUCAGGGGCACACCCGUCUGUGGAGACCAUCAAUGCACCCCACUCGUACCACGGGAAUCAGCAGAGCUGGAACAGCACCUUAUGGUACAAGAUCACUUCCUGGGGUGGUAGGAUGGCUCACUUGGCAAGAAAGCUUGCUGCAAAGCCUGACUUGAUUUCUGCCUCCAGGACUCCCGUGGUAGAGAGAAAUGACUCCUACAAGCUAUGCUAUCCUCUGACCACCACAUGUGCACUGUGGCACAUACAUAUGUCCCCGGGCAUUCGUGUGUGUGUGUGUGUGUGUGUGUGUGCACGCGCGUGCACGAGAGCCAUUAAUAUAAAAUAAAUGCAAUU